rnacentral:rRNA from 1 species
GACGAACGCUGGCGGCGUGCCUAACACAUGCAAGUCGAACGGAAAGGCCCGGCGUUUGUGCGGCUCACGAUUGCCGAGCGCGUGAGUAACACGCGAGUAUCCUGUCCUUGACUGUGUGAUAACUUCUGGAAACUGGGGCUCAAAUCCCAUAGGAGCUCCUGCUGCAUGGUGUUGGUUGGAAAGUUUCGGCGGUGGGGGAUGGACUCGCGGCUUAUCAGCUUGUUGGUGGGGUAGUGGCUUACGAAGGCUUUGACGGAUAGCCGGCCUGCGAGGCUGGCCGGCCACAUGGGGGCUGAGAUAAGGCCCAGAAGCGUACGGGAGGCAGCGGGGGGGAAUAUUGCACAAUGGGCGGACGCCUGAUGCAGCGGCGCCGGGAGCGGGAUGACGGCCUUCGGGGUGUAAACCGCUUUGGCCGGUGACGUAGCGUGAGUGACGGUAAUGUGUAAAGAAGCACCGGCUAACUACGUG